rnacentral:rRNA from 1 species
UACGUAGGGGGCAAGCGUUGUCCGGAAUCAUUGGGCGUAAAGAGCGUGUAGGCGGUCCGGUAAGUCGGCUGUGAAAGUCCAGGGCUCAACCCUGGGAUGCCGGUCGAUACUGCCGGACUAGAGUUCGGAAGAGGCGAGUGGAAUUCCCGGUGUAGCGGUGAAAUGCGCAGAUAUCGGGAGGAACACCUAUGGCGAAGGCAGCUCGCUGGGACGUUACUGACGCUGAGGCGCGAAAGCCAGGGGAGCGAACGGG